rnacentral:rRNA from 1 species
UCGGCAGAGUAACUGUUGUCGGCGUGACGGUAUCCAACCAGAAAGCCACGGCUAACUACGUGCCAGCAGCCGCGGUAAUACGUAGGUGGCAAGCGUUAUCCGGAUUUAUUGGGCGUAAAGCGAGCGCAGGCGGUUUUUUAAGUYUGAUGUGAAAGCCCUCGGCUUAACCGAGGAAGCGCAUCGGAAACUGGGAAACUUGAGUGCAGAAGAGGACAGUGGAACUCCAUGUGUAGCGGUGAAAUGCGUAGAUAUAUGGAAGAACACCAGUGGCGAAGGCGGCUGUYUGGUCUGUAACUGACGCUGAGGCUCGAAAGCAUGGGUAGCGAACAGGAUUAGAUACCCUGGUAGUCCAUGCCGUAAACGAUGAAUGCUAGGUGUUGGAGGGUUUCCGCCCUUCAGUGCCGCAGCUAACGCAUUAAGCAUUCCGCC